GAUGAAGAACGUAGCGAAAUGCGAUAAGUAGUGUGAAUUGCAGAAUUCAGUGAAUCAUCGAAUCUUUGAACGCACAUUGCGCCCUUUGGUAUUCCUUAGGGCAUGCCUGUUCGAGCGUCAUUUGAAACCUCAAGCUCAGCUUGGUGUUGGGUGUCUGUCCCCGCCUCCGCGGGGACUCGCCUCAAAAUCAUUGGCGGCCGGUACGUUGGCUUCGAGCGCAGCAGAAACGCGAACUCGAGGCCCGGCGGAUCGGCGACCAGAAGUCUCUUCUUCACAGUUUGACCUCGGAUCAGGUAGGGAUACCCGCUGAACUUAAGCAUAUCAAUAGCGGAGGA
rnacentral:misc_RNA from 1 species